rnacentral:rRNA from 1 species
UACGGAGGGGGCUAGCGUUGUUCGGAAUUACUGGGCGUAAAGCGCGCGUAGGCGGCUUUGUAAGUUAGAGGUGAAAGCCCGGAGCUCAACUCCGGAACUGCCUUUAAGACUGACGAGCUAGCAGGUGAGAGAGGUGAGUGGAAUUCCGAGUGUAGAGGUGAAAUUCGUAGAUAUUCGGAAGAACACCAGUGGCGAAGGCGGCUCACUGGCUCAUACUGGACGCUGAGGUGCGAAAGCGUAGGGAGCAAACAGG